UCACUAUAAAUAAUAAGUUGUAUAAUUUGUUUUGCGAUUGAACUCGAACUAGCCAUAAUGAACUACAUUCUUUUAUGUAAACAACCAUAUUACGGGCUACAAACCUCAAAAUUAGGUGAUUCAAAAACUGGUUCAAACAUGACUCAAAGAUCUAUUGUUUGGGCAGAAGAAUAGCCCAAAAAGGUAGUUGAAAGGUCUCGAAAAGUCAAUUCAAUGUUUCCAUU
rnacentral:lncRNA from 1 species